rnacentral:rRNA from 1 species
UGUAAGCCUGUGAAGGUGGCCUGUGAGGGUUGCUGGAGGUAUCAGAAGUGCGAAUGCUGACAUAAGUAACGAUAAAGCGGGUGAAAAGCCCGCUCGCCGGAAGACCAAGGGUUCCUGUCCAACGUUAAUCGGGGCAGGGUGAGUCGACCCCUAAGGCGAGGCCGAAAGGCGUAGUCGAUGGGAAACGGGUUAAUAUUCCCGUACUUGGUGUUACUGCGAAGGGGGGACGGAGAAGGCUAUGUUGGCCGGGCGACGGUUGUCCCGGUUUAAGCGUGUAGGCUGGUUUUCCAGGCAAAUCCGGAAAAUCAAGGCUGAGGCGUGAUGACGAGGCACUACGGUGCUGAAGCAACAAAUGCCCUGCUUCCAGGAAAAGCCUCUAAGCAUCAGGUAACAUCAAAUCGUACCCCAAACCGACACAGGUGGUCAGGUAGAGAAUACCAAGGCGCUUGAGAGAACUCGGGUGAAGGAACUAGGCAAAAUGGUGCCGUAACUUCGGGAGAAGGCACGCUGACAC